rnacentral:rRNA from 1 species
UUCCAGACUCCUACGGGAGGCAGCAGUGGGGAAUAUUGGGCAAUGGGCGCAAGCCUGACCCAGCAACGCCGCGUGAAGGAAGAAGGCUUUCGGGUUGUAAACUUCUUUUAAGGGGGAAGAGGGGAAGACGGUACCCCUUGAAUAAGCCACGGCUAACUACGUGCCAGCAGCCGCGGUAAUACGUAGGUGGCAAGCGUUGUCCGGAUUUACUGGGUGUAAAGGGCGUGCAGCCGGGAGGACAAGUCAGAUGUGAAAUUCCGGGGCUCAACCCCGGACCUGCAUUUGAAACUGUUGGUCUUGAGUAUCGGAGGGGCAGGCGGAAUUCCUAGUGUAGCGGUGAAAUGCGUAGAUAUUAGGAGGAACACCAGUGGCGAAGGCGGCCUGCUGGACGACAACUGACGGUGAGGCGCGAAAGCGUGGGGAGCAAACAGGAUUAGAUACCCGGGUA